rnacentral:tRNA from 1 species
AAGAUUUUAAGUUAUUAUUAAACUAUUAACCUUCAAAGUUAAAAUUAUAUUUAUUUUAUAUAAAUCUUA